UCCAUUCCUUUGUUGAAGGGCAUCUG
rnacentral:piRNA from 1 species